rnacentral:rRNA from 1 species
CAGUAGCCACGGUAAUACGAAGGGGGCUAGCGUUGUUCGGAUUUACUGGGCGUAAAGGGCGCGUAGGCGGAUUUGUAAGUCAGGGGUGAAAUCCCGAGGCUCAACCUCGGAACUGCCUUUGAUACUGUGGAUCUUGAGUCCGGGAGAGGUGAGUGGAACUGCGAGUGUAGAGGUGAAAUUCGUAGAUAUUCGCAAGAACACCAGUGGCGAAGGCGGCUCACUGGCCAGGAACUGACGCUGAGGCGCGAAAGCGUGGGGAGCAAACAGGAUUAGAUACCCCCGUAGUCCCUGUCUCUUAUAC